UAUCGUUUUAUUUUCUACUAGAAAAUAAUACCGAUGCCUCACGUUAAUUUUUAAUAUUAUUAUUAAAAUAUUACACUGUAUAUCAGUGGCGUGGCGAUAGUGAUAUUUAUUAGUGGCCAUUUUAACAAAGGUGUUUUCAGGUGUCGGGCGAGUCAGACGGGUGGGUCUCAACUUGCAGGCGAAUGAAAAAAAACUAAUACUGUGAUAUAACAUAAUAAUUUGUAACAACGUAGUAAUAACACUGUAGUAGGUUACUAUAAUAUAAAUUGUCGUAUUACAACCAAUUAGAUAAAUACAAUUUGGAUUUAUUCAAACAAUAAACUUAUUAAUAUACGUGACAAAUGAG